rnacentral:snRNA from 1 species
CAACUGAGGAAUUUCUGGAUCACCCCACUAAUCACCAGGGUAGAUUCAGCCAAUCUCUCUGGUUGAGCAAGUGUCCCCUUCCUCCUUCAACAUUCCACAUGUGCCCUUCCUGAAGCUGUGGCUUGGUCAGAGAACAACCUUCCCAUUAGACAAGGACAGGUCUUCAGUCAAGUGUAUGAGUAGCUGUGCUCCUUUGCUAGAACCUCUGAACAAAUGAGUAAUUUCCCAGAUGAGACUGGCCUGUGAGCAACUAUGGGAAAUUGUCUUGAUUGUU